GGCGAACGGGUGCGUAAUGCAUGGGAAUCUGCCUAGUAGUGGGGAAUAACCCGGCGAAAGCCGGGCUAAUGCCGCAUACGACCUACGGGUGAAAGCGGGGGAUCGCAAGACCUCGCGCUAUUAGAUGAGCCCAUGUCGGAUUAGCUAGUUGGUAGGGUAACGGCCUACCAAGGCGACGAUCCGUAGCUGGUCUGAGAGGACGGCCAGCCACACUGGGACUGAGACACGGCCCAGACUCCUACGGGAGGCAGCAGUGGGGAAUUUUGGACAAUGGGGGCAACCCUGAUCCAGCGACGCCGCGUGUGUGAAGAAGGCCUGCGGGUUGUAAAGCACUUUCGUUGGGAACGAAAUAUGCCGACCUAAUACGUCGGUAGGCUGACGUUACCCAAAUAAGAAGCACCGGCUAACUCUGUGCCAGCAGCCGCGGUAAUACAGAGGGUGCGAGCGUUAAUCGGAAUUACUGGGCGUAAAGCGCACGUAGGCGGCUAUGUAAGUCAGAUGUGAAAUCCCCGGGCUCAACCUGGGAACUGCAUUUGAGACUGCAUAGCUAGAGUAUGGGAGAGGAAGGCGGAAUUCC
rnacentral:rRNA from 1 species